GUUCAGCACAUAUACUAAAAUUGGAAUGAUACAGAGAAGAUUAGCAUGGCCCCUGCACGGUAUGUACUCUUAACCAUGGAGAGAUCUCUCCAGCCCAAUAAAAUAAAUCUUU